GACGAACGCUGGCGGCGUGCUUAACACAUGCAUGUCGAACGGAAAGGCCCUGCUUUUGUGGGGUGCUCGAGUGGCGAACGGGUGAGUAACACGUGAGUAACCUGCCCUUGACUUUGGGAUAACUUCAGGAAACUGGGGCUAAUACCGGAUAGGAGCUCCUGCUGCAUGGUGGGGGUUGGAAAGUUUCGGCGGUUGGGGAUGGACUCGCGGCUUAUCAGCUUGUUGGUGGGGUAGUGGCUUACCAAGGCUUUGACGGGUAGCCGGCCUGAGAGGGUGACCGGCCACAUUGGGACUGAGAUACGGCACAGACUCCUACGGGAGGCAGCAGUGGGGAAUAUUGCACAAUGGGCGGAAGCCUGAUGCAGCAACGCCGCGUGCGGGAUGACGGCCUUCGGGUUGUAAACCGCUUUCGCCUGUGACGAAGCGUGAGUGACGGUAAUGGGUAAAGAAGCACCGGCUAACUACGUG
rnacentral:rRNA from 1 species